AGAUUAAAGAUUUAUCGGUGAUGGAUGGGGAUGCGUCUGAUUAGCUUGUUGGCGGGGUAACGGCCCACCAAGGCAACGAUCAGUAGGGGUUCUGAGAGGAAGGUCCCCCACAUUGGAACUGAGACACGGUCCAAACUCCUACGGGAGGCAGCAGUGAGGAAUAUUGGUCAAUGGGCGAGAGCCUGAACCAGCCAAGUAGCGUGCAGGACGACGGCCCUAUGGGUUGUAAACUGCUUUUAUAAGGGAAUAAAGUGAGUCUCGUGAGACUUUUUGCAUGUACCUUAUGAAUAAGGACCGGCUAAUUCCGUGCCAGCAGCCGCGGUAAUACGGAAGGUCCGGGCGUUAUCCGGAUUUAUUGGGUUUAAAGGGAGCGUAGGCCGGAGAUUAAGCGUGUUGUGAAAUGUAGACGCUCAACGUCUGCACUGCAGCGCGAACUGGUUUCCUUGAGUACGCACAAAGUGGGCGGAAUUCGUGGUGUAGCGGUGAAAUGCUUAGAUAUCACGAAGAACUCCGAUUGCGAAGGCAGCUCACUGGAGCGCAACUGACGCUGAAGCUCGAAAGUGCGGGUAUCGAACAGGAUUAGAUACCCUGGUAGUCCGCACGGUAAACGAUGGAUACCCGCUGUUGGCCUGAAUAGGUCAGCGGCCAAGCGAAAGCAUUAAGCAUCCCACCUGGGGAGUACGCCGGCAACGGUGAAACUCAAAGGAAUUGACGGGGGGCCGCACAAGCGGAGGAACAUGUGGUUUAAUUCGAUGAUACGCGAGGAACCUUACCCGGGCUUGAAUUGCAGAGGAAGGAUUUGGAGACAAUGACGCCCUUCGGGGCCUCUGUGAAGGUGCUGCAUGGUUGUCGUCAGCUCGUGCCGUGAGGUGUCGGCUUAAGUGCCAUAACGAGCGCAACCCCUCUCCUUAGUUGCCAUCAGGUCAUGCUGGGCACUCUGGGGACACUGCCACCGUAAGGUGUGAGGAAGGUGGGGAUGACGUCAAAUCAGCACGGCCCUUACGUCCGGGGCUACACACGUGUUACAAUGGCAGGUACAGAGAGACGGUCCCUUGCAAAAGGGAUCAAAUCCUCAAAGCCUGUCUCAGUUCGGACUGGGGUCUGCAACCCGACCCCACGAAGCUGGAUUCGCUAGUAAUCGCGCAUCAGCCAUGGCGCGGUGAAUACGUUCCCGGGCCUUGUACACACCGCCCGUCAAGCCAUGAAAGCCGGGGGCGCCUAAAGUCCGUGACC
rnacentral:rRNA from 1 species